AUUUUUUUUAAUAUUUUCAGCUCCUGUUGGUGCUGUCAUUUUAUUGUACUCUGAUUUUUGUUUUAAAAAUAUAUAGUUACAAUUUAUGGCAUUUUACAUUUUUGGAUCGGCGGCAGUUGUGCGCGCCUUGGCUAUAAUAGUUAUUUAAGAAUUACAAUUUCGAGGACAAUUUUGAUUUGCUUGGCAGCAGUUAUCCGCGCCCUGAUUUAAGUUAAGAUUUUACGUUAAGUAGCCUUAGCUUACGGUAGUUAAAAAUAUUUAUAAGUAGUAGUAGUUUUAAGUUUAAGUAAUUUUAUGAGAGAAAAUUUGUAGUAUUAGUGGGAAACAGUUUUGGGUGGAUGUAUAUUCUAAAUUAAAUUGUUGUGGCAUAGGAUUCCAGCGAUGAGACUCUGGCUGAUGGCGGCGACGACGAGCAGUUGCUAUCGUCCGAGGAGAUAGAUAGCACAGUUGCCCAUCCUUCACUUUGGUUUCCAUUGUGUCCGUCCAUUUUGUAUGCCGUUCCGUCUUGUUCACUUUGGGUAGCUGUUGCACUGGUGCCUCUGUCGGAUUUUUAAUCACCACUGACGCGCCGUUUUGGUCGGGAAGCCUAGGCGGGCUAUUGGACUUCGAUAAAUCGGAGGGAAAAAACACGGCUAGUAAUCGGCGUUCUGGCGAUUUUCCCGUCAGAAUGGUAACCGAUAUAUCGCUUCGCGUUGGCCGAUGUCAUUGGUCAUUGUCAGUAGCUGGUCUCACUACUCCUGGGCUUCGAUAAAUCGGGGGUAAAAGCAAUAUAGCUGGUAAUCGAUGUUCUGGCAUUUUUCCCGCCAGAAUCUUUAUCGAUACCCUGCUUCGCGUUAGCCGGUAUUCCAGGUCAUUCUCGGUAGCUGGUCUCACUACUACUUGGAAAAGGGAAAGGAAAACAUAUGUUACCUUUGUUGAUCGUCGCUGCUCAUCGCGCCACCGCGGAGAUGCCAUCGUGUACCAGGCAUCGGCCCAUCUGGCCCGUCAGGCCUGAUGCAAGCGUCCAUUCUGUGGCGGGUGGAAAAAUGCGCCGCAGUCCAGCGUCGUCUGAUGGAAACGCUCCGGUUUGUCAGGGAUGCAGUUACAUACAAAUCUGAAGGAAACAAACUGAUCCAGAUUUCUUUCUUCCAGAUUUGAAUCGCCGGUGAUUGUUGUCCAGGAUGAUUGUCCAGUGGUCAGGUAUGGAGUCGGAAAAACAAUGAUCAGCUGGCUCGCCAAAAUAUUCAGGCAUCCGGAAGGAAGGAUUUGUCCGCAGGAUAAUCGACGUCUCAUACUUCGUGCCUAGGCUGGACGGUUUUUGGAGGUAUAUUUUUCAGGUCGGCUAUUCUGAAGGUACAUUUGUUGCAGCUCAGAUUGAGGCCGACGCUGCUGGGAUCCCUUGGUUUUGAUUUCUUUACGUUUGCGAUUAUUCUGGAGGUACGUUUGUAGCAGCUGAUAUUAAGGCCGACGCAACUGGGAUGCCAAGAACACGCCGGUUUUCAGGAAUGAAAUUUUAUUGUAUUUUUAGGAAAGAGAAGGAAGACUAAAAAAUUAUUCUCUUUCUUUCAGGAAAACGGUGGUGAAGUGACAGACAAAGCGGCUGAUGGAGUCUUCAUAAAGCGGCGAUUGUUUCAGGCACAAAUCCAUCAGUUUGGAAUGAGAGACGGAUCGCCAGUGAUGCAUUCACCAUCUCGCCAGGAUAGCGCAAUUCGAUUGCGCAGUCUAUAUCAUCCAGUAGGUGUUAUAAGUUGGAUUUUACCAUUUAUAUGUAAGACAUUUCCCUUUAUAAAAUAACCUGUAAGUGAGCCUUUA